rnacentral:tRNA from 2 species
CAGCAUGUAGCUCAGUUGGUAGAGCAAUCGACUCAUAAUCGAUCUGGCACGGGUUCAAUUCCCGUCAUGUUAACCG